rnacentral:rRNA from 1 species
GACGAACGCUGGCGGCGCGCCUAACACAUGCAAGUCGAGCGAUGAAGAGAAGACAGAAGCCCUCGGGCAGACGUCAUCUUGGAUUAGCGGCGGACGGGUGAGUAACAGGUGAGUAACCUACCUUUGACACAGGGAUAGCCUCGGGAAACCGGGAUUAAUACCUGAUGACAUUACACUUUCGCAUGAAAGAGUAAUCAAAGAACUUCGGUCAAAGAUGGACUCGCCGCUGAUUAGCUAGUUGGUGAGAUAACAGCCCACCAAGGCAACGAUCAGUAGCCGGCCUGAGAGGGUGAACGGCCACAUUGGAACUGAGACACGGUCCAAACUCCUACGGGAGGCAGCAGUGGGGAAUAUUGCACAAUGGGGGGAACCCUGAUGCAGCGACGCCGCGUGAGCGAAGAAGGUAUUCGUAUCGUAAAGCUCUGUCCUAUGGGAAGAUAAUGACGGUACCAUAGGAGGAAGCUCCGGCUAACUACGUGCCAGCAGCCGCGGUAAUACGUAGGGAGCAAGCGUUGUCCGGAAUCACUGGGCGUAAAGGGUUCGCAGGCGGCAAUGCAAGUCUCGUGUGAAAGGCAAGGGGCUCAACCCUUGUAAGCACAAAAAACUGCAUAGCUUGAGUAGUGGAGAGGCAAGUGGAAUUCCUAGUGUAGCGGUGAAAUGCGUACAUAUUAGGAGGAAUACCGGUGGCGAAGGCUACUUGCUGGACACCAACUGACGCUGAGGAACGAAAGCGUGGGGGAGAAACAUG